rnacentral:rRNA from 1 species
AAUGAACGCUGGCGGCGUGCCUAGCACAUGCAAGUCGAGCGAGAAAGUUUCUUCGGAAAUGAGUACAGCGGCGGACGGGUGGGUAACGCGUAAGAAUCUACCCCUUAGUGAGGAAUAGCUUCGAGAAAUCGGAGGUAAUACCGCAUAAGUCCUACGGGAGAAAGGUGGCCUCAAGCUGCCGCUAAGGGAUGAGCUUGCGUACUAUUAGCUUGUUGGUGGGGUAAAGGCCUACCAAGGCUUUGAUGGUUAGCCGGCCUGAGAGGGUGUUCGGCCACAUUGGAACUUAGACACGGUCCAG